CUGCCACAGACAGACAUCAGGAGGAACAGACCCAAGGACCUUUCCCAUUAGGAGUCCAAUCUCUUAUACUGCACAUCUCAGCACAGUAGAUAGUGGGAUAAAUGGUUACUGUUCUUCCAUAACCAUCUUCAUCUGGAUGCAUUUACACAAGUUACGGGUCCCACUCUUGGGAAGACCUGCUGUAUGUUACAGCAUUUGGCACAGGAUCUCUUCCAAGUUCUCUGCCUGGUUCUUACAAGCUGUGAUGCUCUACCUGGGGCUGGAGGUGAAGAAGAAAAGAAGAGCUUUACCCUGUGACCUCAUCUCGUGGAGAGUCUUUAGA
rnacentral:lncRNA from 1 species